rnacentral:rRNA from 1 species
UUGGUGCAUGACGCACAUCUUGAUGAGAGUGCCGAGGAUGGCAUUGUGUGGAAACAUACAAAUGAGCUCUACUCGGCGGCCUUCGCCUACAAGGCGCAAUUCCUGGGCAUGACCUUCUCCUCUUUAGACCAAAUGGUGUGGAAGGCUUGGGCGCCGCCAAAGAUUAAGUUCUUCACAUGGUUGGCUAUUCAAGAUUGUAUUUGGACCGCCGAUAGGUUCGACAAGCGGGGGUGGACAAAUUGUGGGCAAGAGAGUGCAAGAGUGCGACGCCAUGCACCUCUUUUUCAAGUAUCGUUUCACUUUGAGGCUUUGGGGCUUGGUCAAAAAGAAACUACGACUUGA